rnacentral:lncRNA from 1 species
UCUGAGAUUCGAGUCGACUCCAGUGGAACGCGAGUCGACUCCGAUGGUUGGCAAGUCGACUCCAGAGAAAGCAAGAGUCGACUCUCAGCGGUACACAAAGAAAAGGUCAGAGAGCAUUUUAUGGACUCUGAGAUUCGAGUCGACUCCCACAAUACGCGAGUCGACUCCGAGACUGUGCGACCGUCGACAGACAGAAAACCAUGUUACUGCCUCUGAGAUUCGAGUCGACUCCAAGGAAGUUCGAGUCGACUCCAAGACUGGAUGAGCCAAAAGACAGAGAAUCGGGAGUUCGGGCUCUGAGAUUCGAGUCGACUCCAAGGACAGUCGAGUCGACUCGAGUGGACAAAAUUCAAAAUUGGAUCCACGGACUUCAGUGGAUGAGCCGACUCCAAAAUUGCCAGGUCAGCUCCAGAAGUUGGCGAGUCGACUCCGGGUCAAGACGAGUCGACUCCCAGUCGUG